GUAUAGUGUUGCAACCUUGCAAUGCUAUCUUAUGCAUGUCUACUCAAAAGUCAAUCUCACCAAAUUCAAUGGGGCUUAUACAAAGCCCUGUGACCCGAUGAACUUGCGCCGACUGAUGGACUAACUUGCCAUUUGUCUCUAAUUCAGCUUCAGUUUCAUUGUACAGGUUCUUUCUCUCCUGAAUAUGAAGAACUUUGCAAUUUAUUUAUUUAUCAAAAUCAAGCUGAAACAACAUUCUCACCCAUGUGGCACAGCCAAAUUCAAUUGGUCAAGCUAUCCCCAGCCUGGAGAAGACCAUGAUGUCCCUGCCUACCAUUUAGCUAUUAAAGAGGAAGAAGAGCCUGUCCAAAAAAAGAAAAGGGAAAAAAGGCUAUGAAUCUUCUUUCUUUCUUUCUUUCUUUCUUUCUUUCUUUCUUUCUUUCUUUCUUUCUUUCUUUCUUAGCACUCACAUGCUUGAAUAUAUGAUAAAGAGCUAACCAAAGCCCUG